rnacentral:tRNA from 1 species
GAGGGUAUAGCUCAGUGGUAGAGCAUGUGCUUAGCAUGCGCAGGGUUCUAGUUUCAAUCCCCAGUACCUCCA